rnacentral:rRNA from 1 species
UAUAACGACUCUCGGCAACCGAAAUCUCGGCUCUUGCUUCGAUGAARAACGCAGCRAAAUAAGAUACUUGGUGUGAAUUUCAGAAAUCCGUGAAACCUCGAGUCUUUGAACGCAAGUUGCGCCCGAAGCCAUCCGGUCGAGGGCACGUCUGCCUGGGCGUCACACACC